ACUUUAUGCCCUGUGGAACAGCUGCACAAAGAGAAAUUCUUGGGUUUUGAAGAAUGUCUGUGCUGGGCUGACUGUGAACUUCUCAGCUGCAGCAUGUUGCCAAAGUUUACAGCUGAGAAAAAAUAAGACUGAGUUAUUUGCUCUCCUUUGGUAACUAUAACAGAUGGAAUACGAGCACAACAGGGUUGUCAGAAUGAGUGUGUGGCUGGAGGAUGUGCAGGGGAAGCCACAAAGCAUGUGACUGAAUCUUUCAAGUCUUCUGCAGACAGACCCAACCUUCCUGGGCUCCAAGCCAGUGGGAUGUGAGCCCAUGGCAGACUGGAAGCUACAUAGGCAGGUUAGUGCAGUGCUGUGCUCGAACUAAUAAUCCCUGUUGAGAUCUUGGACUUGCUAGACUGAAUAUAAACUAUGCUAAUAUGUUUGCA
rnacentral:lncRNA from 1 species